AGUAUAGGAGGUCCAGCCUGCCCAGUGACUACGGGUUCAACGGCCGCGGUAUUUUGACCGUGCAAAGGUAGCGCAAUCACUUGUCUCUUAAAUAGAGACCUGUAUGAAUGGCUAGACGAGGGCUUAACUGUCUCCCCCUUCCAGUCAGUGAAAUUGAUCUAUCCGUGCAGAAGCGGGUGUAAUUAUACAAGACGAGAAGACCCUAUGGAGCUUGAGGUACAAAGUUCAACCACGUUAAAUGACUCUACAAAAAGCAAGAACCUAGUGGCCAGUGAAAUUUUACCUUCGGUUGGGGCGACCACGGAGGAAAGAUAAGCCUCCGAGUGGACUGGGCUAAACCCCCAAAGCCAAGAGAUACAUCUAUAAGCCGCAGAACAUCUGACCAAAAAUGAUCCGACUGAAAAGCCGAUCAACGAACCAAGUUACCCUAGGGAUAACAGCGCAAUCCUCUCCCAGAGUCCAUAUCGACGAGGGGGUUUACGACCUCGAUGUUGGAUCAGGACAUCCUAAUGGUGCAGCCGCUAUUAAGGGUUCGUUUG
rnacentral:rRNA from 1 species